GUUGUUUGAGCACAACUGUAACACCUUCACUAAUGAGGUGGCCCAGUUCUUAACAGGCCGGAAGAUCCCUUCUUACAUCACAGACCUGCCCUCCGAAGUGCUCUCCACACCCUUUGGUCAGAUACUCCGGCCUAUACUGGACUCCAUCCACAUCUCUCCUCCUGGGGGGAACAUCAUCAAUGGUCGCCACAGCUAAACUGCCUGAACUGCACACAGUAGUAUUUAGAUAUGUUCUAAUUUACAUUUUCAAAACGGAGGUGGGUUAUUGACGAAACCUUGGAGGGUGAAUCUCAGUGAGUCACACUGCUUUUGUACUGCGUAUGCUUGGUUUUAGUAUGAUUGUUUUGUAACUCCCCACCAGCAAUGCUCUCGCCUUUUAGUACAUUUUAAAAAAUUGAUUCAGUUUCCAGUUUUUGUUUUCGGACCUUCCUUAUUGCCUCUAAUGGUAUGAUCCUGAUCUGAGGGAAAGUUGCACAACAUUAACUUUCUCACAAAUCCUCCAAUAUCAUCAAUAUGAUUUWUAAGAAGGUUGGCGUGUAUCUCAAGUCAGGGUUUCAGCAUGACUUCCAAUGRACUACUCCACCUUCCACCAGAUGGUGUGUGCUAUAUACACCUCUAUGCCUUCACCUCUCUCACCUUAGUGUUAAUGAUGCUGAUAGUGUGAUAUGAAUGCUGAAGUGCACAAAAUCUACAUUAGUUCUCUGGAUGAAGAAACAGACCAUGCGUAUCUUGUAUGUGUUUGAAAUCAUCUCAGAAAUGUAAUUUUAUUAUGAAAAGGUUUGUACAAUUUUGGGGUCAAGUUUGGGGUCAAAUCAUACAUAUUCUUGUAUAAUUUUCAUUGGGCCAUCAGUGGGAGCAAUAACUCUUCACAUAUCUAUACUUAUUAGACUAGGCAUAUUAAAUGCACGUAUUCACUGCAACUCCUAGCACUGGUUAACUAUAGCAUCAUUCAGUAGAACAGUACAGUAAACUGUAUGUUCUAUAAAAGACAGCACCUCUGGUAUCGCAUCAGACAGGUAAUUACAGCAUAACAUGUCUCAAAUGCCAUGAUGACACUAUCUCUUCAUAAAAGAAUGACUCCACCAAUAGGUGCUUGUCUCCUUCACUAAAACAUACAAGGCCCUUCACCUUGGUAUGCUGCUCACAUAACCACCGUCAACAAUCAACCUGACCAAUGAAAUGUAUUGUACACCUCAUUCCUAUUUGUAAUAUUAUUUAUUUCAGGAUCAGUUGCUGGCUGCUAAAUGUAAUGAUACAUUUAAGUUAAUAAUUAUGAAUACAAUAUUAGUUAUGUAUGGUUAUUUAUGUAUGGAUGAUAUUGUUUUUGCACAUUGUUUGCUUGUUAGUUUUGUAAUUGUAUCUAUAAAUAAAGCCAUUCUUUACAAAUGUUA